rnacentral:rRNA from 1 species
GACGAACGCUGGCGGCGUGCUUAACACAUGCAAGUCGAGCGGUAAGGCCCUUUCGGGGGUACGACGAGCGGCGAACGGGUGAGUAACACGUGGGUGACCUGCCCUCAGCUCUGGGAUAAGUCUGGGAAACCGGGUCUAAUACUGGAUAUGACUCCAUGACGCAUGUUGUGGGGUGGAAAGCCUUGUGCGGCUGAGGAUGGGCCCGCGGCCUAUCAGCUUGUUGGUGGGGUGANGGCCUACCAAGGCGACGACGGGUAGCCGGCCUGAGAGGGCGACCGGCCACACUGGGACUGAGACACGGCCCAGACUCCUACGGGAGGCAGCAGUGGGGAAUCUUGCGCAAUGGGCGAAAGCCUGACGCAGCGACGCCGCGUGAGGGAUGAC